rnacentral:lncRNA from 1 species
AAAUUAAAUAUAUGACAUUGUUUUUAUUGAUUCAUAUAUAACUAGACCCAAAUUUAUUCAUAAUUCUACUCAUUAACCCAAUUUAAAAAAAAACUAUGUUUUGUUACUUGACAAUCUAUGCAUUCCAAACCCCUUCAGUUCAUGGUCUUCCCAAAGAGCAGUACGAUCAGCUAAAGCACCAAAAAAGUAUGGUAUAGCACUCUUUCAUGUAUAAGCUUCUGCUCUAUCAAUCUACAAACCCACAAACGGUGGUUAACAGGGGCAAGUUUAUUAGCUUACUGCCAGCUCUGUCGUUGCAGAUUGCUGCUAGUUAUCUUUCAUUGGAUCAAGAUGAAAACAGAGACAAGUUUAAGAGCUCUGCCAAUCCAAUGAGCACGAUAUAAUUAAGUAAACAAGUGUUGCGUUUUUUAAUUGGGUUAAUCGAUAGAAUUGUGAAUGAGUUUGGAUCUAAUUGCAUGUAAAUAAAUAAAAAGAAUAUCAUAUAGUAUAUAAUUAAUGAUAAAUUUAGUUGACUGA